GCUGGGUGUGGGACGGCAUCUUGGCUCUGAAGCAGCAGAAGUUGUGGACGAUAACAAGUGCGACCCCCCCGACGACAAAGACUUAGCGGCAGCACAACGUGUUUAGCCUCCUCCGCUCGACUUCAGCGGAGAUAAGUCUCCGAACGCUCUCGCCGAGCCACUAAUCAAGCCGAUCGUAUAGUGGCCAACAAUCCCAACGAUGCGUGGUGCGUGGACCAAACGCGGAUCUGACUUAAUCCACUCACAAAGCGUGUCUUCAAAAACCGAGCAUUGCUAGCCGACAACUGACAGCGCGGACAGGAUAUGACGUCAGAGUCGGCGUGUUGACUAACCGCCUUCUCCCUCAGCCAACAUGGCGCCGAUGUUGUUGGCACCGCUGAAAUGUGGCUUUCGCUUCCAAAAGAGGAAGGUAGCGCUUCUCCUGCGACACACUUGCUCAUAUCACGUCUGGGGUGGCCGCCUGGAUGGAAACAGAAGUGGACCCAGACGCCAGACUGGAUAUCAGCUGAACUCCUCUCCGCACAUCAGAACAGUCACAUGGCAUGCAAACAAGAGUCGGAAUAUUUUGGAAGCUGUCAAACACGUGCAGCUCACAGACAAACGAACAUGUUGGCACGGACAUGCCGGUGGACGCCUCAAUGCAGACCCCAAAAAUGUUUUGAAGGAGGUUCGUUCUUCCGAAAUCCUGUCUGCCAUGGUGUCUUACGUGUGGCCAAAGGACAGACCAGACCUAAGGGCCCGUGUUGCCAUCUCUCUGGGUCUGCUUGCUGGAGCAAAGAUCACAAACGUGAUGGUGCCCUUCAUGUUUAAGUAUGCAGUGGAUGAGCUUAACCAGAUGUCGGGACACAUGCUGAACCUGAAUGACGCGCCAAGCACUGUGGCUACCAUGGCAACGGCUAUGCUGAUUGGCUAUGGUGUGUCACGCGCUGGUUCAGCCUUCUUCAAUGAGCUCAGAAACACUGUUUUUGGCAAAGUGGCCCAGAGCUCGAUCCGGCGCAUCGCCAAGAAUGUCUUCCUGCACUUGCACAAUCUGGAUUUGGGUUUCCAUCUCAGCCGCCAGACGGGAGCGCUGUCCAAAGCAAUUGACCGUGGCACACGAGGCAUCUCCUUCGUCCUCAGUGCGCUUGUCUUCAACCUAGGGCCAACCAUGUUUGAGAUGGGCCUCGUCAGCGCCAUCCUUUAUUACAAGUGCGGAGGACAGUUUGCAGCAGUGGCCUUGGGAACCUUGUCAGCAUACACGCUUUUCACCAUUCUUGUUACACAGUGGAGGACUCGUUUUCGUAUCGAAAUGAACAAAGCAGACAAUGAAGCGGGCAAUGCUGCCAUUGAUUCCCUCCUGAAUUAUGAGACCGUUAAGUACUUCAACAAUGAAAAGUAUGAAUCUGAGAGGUACGACAGCUUCCUGAAAAUCUACGAGUCGUCCUCGUUAAAAACCACAUCCACGCUCGCCAUGCUCAACUUCGGCCAGAGUGCCAUCUUCUCUGUUGGCCUCACUGGGAUUAUGCUACUGGCCAGCAAGGGCAUUGCAGCGGGUUCAAUGACAGUAGGAGAUUUGGUCAUGGUUAACGGGCUGCUCUUCCAGCUCUCCCUCCCUCUGAACUUUCUGGGGACGGUGUACCGAGAGACCAGACAGGCUCUGAUCGACAUGAACACUCUCUUCACUCUGCUCAGCGUUGACACAAAAAUCAAGGAAAAGGAUCUGGCCCCGCUGUUGACUGUCGCUCCCCAGGAAGCCACCAUUCGCUUCGAGGAUGUUUAUUUUGAAUACCUGGAAGGACAGAAAGUCCUAAAUGGGGUGUCCUUUGAAGUGCCUGCCGGGAAGAAGGUUGCUAUAGUCGGUGGCAGCGGGUCAGGGAAAAGUACCAUUGUGCGGCUGUUGUUCCGCUUCUAUGAGCCCCAGCAGGGGAACAUCUACAUAGCAGGGCAGAAUAUCCGAGACGUCAGCCUUGAAAGCCUGAGGAAGGCAUUGGGGGUCGUGCCGCAGGAUGCGGUUCUGUUCCACAACACCAUCUUCUACAACUUGCAGUACGGAAACAUUCAUGCGACGCCAGAAGAAGUGUAUCAAGUAGCACGACUUGCUGGCAUCCACGAUGCCAUUCUCAGGAUGCCCCAUGGCUAUGACACCCAAGUUGGGGAGCGUGGCCUCAAGCUGUCAGGUGGAGAGAAGCAGCGUGUGGCCAUUGCCCGUGCCAUUCUAAAGAACCCACCAAUACUGCUGUAUGAUGAAGCAACAUCGUCUCUUGACUCCAUCACCGAAGAGAACAUUUUGACUUCAAUGAAGGGGAUGGUGAAGGACAGGACGUCAAUGUUCAUCGCCCACCGCCUCUCGACAAUCGUAGACGCAGAUGAGAUUAUAGUGCUCAAUGAGGGCAAGGUGGCGGAGCGCGGUGACCACCACUCGCUCCUGAGCAUGCCGGGAAGCUUGUACGCCGACCUGUGGAACACCCAGAACAGCAAAAUCCUCACCAGCAGCAAGAACCCGCUGCAGGUGCCAGAGGAGCCACUGUCCCCGAAGGAGGAGGAGAGGAGGAAACUGCAGGAGGAGAUCCUCAACAGCGUAAAGGGCUGUGGGAACUGCUCCUGUUGAGAGGCGCCGCCGUUCUCCGUCAUCCCUCACACAGAUGGCCUCUGCUGGAAACACGGAGCCGUACGUGGUUCGGGGGAGGAAGAGGAGGUGCGUCCCAGACACCUUGGGCCGGGCAAUCCCCCGCUUUUCCUCCACCCUCGAGUGAGCAGAGGACAUUUUCAACACGGAGCUGAGCAAGUGUUUGGCGCUGGCCGCCGUCCAGACAUGGAUCCUUAAUGUGCCAGUUGUCUCAGCAGAAGCCAAAACAAGGGACCCCGUAUAUCACAUACGUGUGUGUAAGACAUCUGUUCAUCAACACGGAGACCCCGCCCCCUCAUUACUGACAUCAUGUUUAUUGACAUCUUUCAUCACGCUGGAAAAACCGAGCGGAGAACACGCAAGCGCUCACAUAUGCCUUGCAGAGGAGGAGGAAGAAAUCCCUGUUAUCCUUUUAAAUAUUAAACGCAAGUGUGGUCAGCCGCGUCUCCCGAGGAUCUGAGGUUUGAAUAGCAGAUGCAUUUAGAGCUAACAGCCGUGGGAUUUGUUUAUUAUUCAUCAUAUCGUGUCUCAUUUUAAUGUCCACAUGUUCCGCAACACGUCUUCUUCAUGGUUUUCGUCAUCCAGACUCACUAAUGCACUGAAGGACACCAUGACACUUUCAUGAGACACGCUGGAGGAACGAGGCGCCGUCACUAAUGAAUCACCACAACCGCAGAGGACGACUUGGAUAUUCUUUCUGCUCCAAAGUGUUCCAAUGUAACCUCUGAUUUUAUUUAUAGGAGGUGUACGUCCUCGUUUUGGGAGGGCUGCUUUUGCCGUGCACAUUUUAACCAUCAUGGCGGUGUGUAAAUUCAGACCACAUUGCCGUUCUUGGGUAGAGAGGAAGAGUCUAUCAGCAGCAGCGUCCUUCUCUUGGACCCCUGCAGCUCUUCGAUGCCCCUUCAAACCGGUGGAAGCCUUUCAGGUGGGACAACAAUCAACACCGACAUCCUCAUGAUGAAGUGAAGCGUGGCGAGCGGCGGCGCGAAGCCCUCUGAUGGAGUCACACGUUGCAGAUGAAAGUGGACCGGGCUUGAACAGGAACACAGGCCGGAUUACUGGCCCUCAGAUGUGGAGUUGAUGUUAAUGACGGAAGGGGUAAUGAGGCUACGGAACCUAAAAGGUUACUCCCUCGUUUUACACGUAGAAUUAUCUCCAAACUGACCUUCAGAUUUUCUUCGUCUUCUUCCGUGUGUGAUUUGAAGGAUGCUACAUUUGACUUGCAAAGCGAGGAGUGACGGGUGAAAUAGAAUUGAGGUUCCAAAUGAAGUGCUCCUGAGAUAAUGAGGUCAAACGCACAUUCCGUUUUGUUUUGGGAAAACCUCUCCGGCCCUCAUUUAAAGCCUCAUCCCAACACUGAUAUUCUUCCUAGCAAACCUCAUAUUCCAGCCAAAUUCUUCUGGAUUUUUCCAGAACCAGAACAGAUCUGAGCGGUACAUAAGGUUCUCACCCCGCCAUCUCGCUCCUCCCAAUGAGCCGCUGACUUCCCUUCUGAAAGAAUUUCUGGCAUAACUUCUCAGCCCAUCAAUAUUUCA